GUUGCUUCAGGAGCACUAUAUGAAAUCAAAACAAUACAGAAAAGGUCAGCAUGGCUCUUGCACAAGGAAGACCUGCAAAUCCAUAAAGUGUUUCAUAUUUUU